UACGAAGGGGGCUAGCGUUGCUCGGAAUCACUGGGCGUAAAGCGCACGUAGGCGGCUUGUUAAGUCAGGGGUGAAAUCCUGGAGCUCAACUCCAGAACUGCCUUUGAUACUGGCGAGCUUGAGUUCGGGAGAGGUGAGUGGAACUGCGAGUGUAGAGGUGAAAUUCGUAGAUAUUCGCAAGAACACCAGUGGCGAAGGCGGCUCACUGGCCCGAUACUGACGCUGAGGUGCGAAAGCGUGGGGAGCGAUCCGG
rnacentral:rRNA from 1 species